UCAGGCCUAACACAUGCAAGUCGAACGGGCGUAGCAAUACGUCAGUGGCAGACGGGUGAGUAACACGUGGGAACCUUCCUAGAGGUACGGAACAACUCAGGGAAACUUGAGCUAAUACCGUAUAAGCUCUUGCGAGGAAAGAUUUAUCGCCUUUAGACGGGCCCGCGUAGGAUUAGCUAGUUGGUGGGGUAACGGCCUACCAAGGCGACGAUCCUUAGCUGAUCUGAGAGGAUGAUCAGCCACACUGGGACUGAGACACGGCCCAGACUCCUACGGGAGGCAGCAGUGGGGAAUCUUGGACAAUGGGCGCAAGCCUGAUCCAGCCAUGCCGCGUGAGUGAAGAAGGCCUUAGGGUUGUAAAGCUCUUUUACCAGGGGAGAUAAUGAC
rnacentral:rRNA from 1 species